UUUUUAAAAUACAUCUUUGCAGUUUUCAAAUGUUUUCAAUAAUUAUUAUCGAAACAUUAACAUUUUUUUUUCAAAGGCCUAUUUGUCCCCUAUAUGCUACAUAGCUGGUAUUUAGGCGUUUAUGGAUGGUGAGAUCAUUGAACAUUAAAUUACCCGCUCGAAUAUUUGUCGACCUAUGUUUCAAAAGCAUGAAAUACUAUAAUAUAGAUAAUACCAUAUAUUAUUACAUAUUUGUCUGAAAACAUAAUUUAUUUUGACUAUAUACAUGCGAUAAGGUUUAAAGUAAAAAAAUAUAUCCACUGAUAUAAUAAUUAUUCAUAAUGUUCGAUGUUAUCAAAGUUCAGAUACCUACAACAUCGUUAGAACAAACAAUUUAAAUUAUAUUCAACGAAUAAUAUGUGAAAGUUAUUAAAGAUGUUUGGAUGUUUGAUAGAAGUAAACGCAGAAAUGGCUGAACGGAUUCGGAUAAAAAUGGCACAUGAAUAGAUAAUAUCCUAUAUUAAUAUAUAGACUACUUUUAUCCCAGUAAUUUGCUCCUAUGGGAAAUAAUGUUUGAUUUGUUUUUACAUAGAUAGCGCUGACAUCAUACGGGUAAUAUUAUGAAUUGCUAGGGAUGUAGGGACUUUUGUAGCGGGAAAGUCUUUUUUAAGUCGCUGGAGUCGCGAACAACACCGUGUUAGUCAUAAUCAUUUGUCAAUAAAGAUAACAAUUUAGUGAGACACUCGUGGUUUAUUACAUUAUUAUCAUGGUUCACUGUUUUUUAAAAUGAUUGGGUUAAAGCAUAAACUUAAAUGUUAUGAGUGUACAUUUUUUCUAAUACAUUUGUAUAAUAUUGAGACUUUAGUGAAAUAAUGUACCUAUGCAUCAUAAUAUAAUGACUAAAAGUAGAGCAUGAAAAAGAUAAUAUGAGAUAAGUAGGUUAUAAAUUAUUACAAUGUAUUAUUUUAUUUCAUGAAAUGCGUUUCUUGAUAACUUAGGCAAUUAAAUCGUUCUUAUGACGUCAAUUUAGUAAAUAGAAAAAACUGGAUAAGUGCGAAUAAGAGUCGCGCCCUAAUAUUCCGUACAAACUAGCUUUUUAGUUAUACAUUUUUACGGUUUUCAAAUAUUUUCCUUUACAUGCGUUGUAAGAUAUUGAUUCUUGACAAAUUUUAGAAUUUUAGAUUUACUGGAUAUAAGUUAGAUUCUCUUGUGAAUUCGCAAAAUAUGCGAAAUUAUGCGACAUAAUCGGCCUUAUUUGUUGAUCGCGUUGACUUACAAGUUUCAUAAUUUCACAAUUACAAGAGACCAUCGACCAGAGUAUUUUAUAUAAAUUUCAACUUGAUAUCUUUACGCGUUCAUGAGAAAAAGGGUCUUCAGACACAGACGAACAACAAAGUGAUCCUAUAAGGGUCCCAUUUGAGAUACGGGACCCUAAAAGAUCAAAUAACUAUUUACACAGUAUGGUCAAAUCAUGAACCUCUAUCUUUGCGUGGCUGAACAUUUACCUUGUGCCGCUAUUUUUUUCUAUUGUACUAAAAGCAACUCCGUGGAAAAGUGAUUAAGUGUACAAAAGUAUUUCUGAUAACGUUGUUAUCGUUCUCAAUGCACUUUUAAUUUGAUAUCCUUUCUUAUAAUGAUUUUGCUUCUAUAGUUAGAAUUUCUUACGUUUUGUAUACUUAAGGAAUAAGAGGUCUUUCUAGAAAUAUAUGUUAAUCCAAGAAUCGAUUAUUGAUUAACAUAUGUUGUAGGACAUAUUUAAAACGAAAUUUUAAAUUAAAGGGAUAUUAUAUUUUUGUCAUUGUUUUGUUAGUCAUUAUUAUAUUAUGCUAACCAGUUUUAUAUUACAAUAGUAAUUAAAAGGCUUUGCUAUUUAUACUCAAAUUGAUUAUUAAAGUUUAACUUCGAGUCACGAAGAGGAAUGAUACGAUAGUAUUUUGCUUUCAUGGUCAACGUCAUCCGAGAACAACUUAUGUAAUAAUUUUGUAACAUGUUAUUUCGUACUGAAUGUUAAUUAGACGAAUUAUUAGUGGUUUAUAAUAAAGUUGAGGUCAUUUCAAUAACAAGGUUAGCAUCGUGACCUAGAAUCUUGCGUAUUUUAAACCGUAACUAAUGUCCCAAAGUGUGGUUGUAAAAGUUUUAGUGUUGCCUUGUCCAGUCGUAAAGCAGGCGUUACGUUUAAGUAACCUACUUUCAGGGUGAGAAAAGCACACAUUUCCCGAGCCACAGUAAACAUUCGCCUGUUAAGUAAUUUCGGAGUCGCUAGAUAAGUAAAUUGGAAAAUGUCAGAACCCAUAAAAUUAUUUCAGUUAACGAUUCAAUUAGGAAAUUAAUGAUUAGUCAUAAACUUAUUGUUGUUUAAUGUACCGAUUCAUAGCCAUCAGAAUUUCGUAGCGAUGAUGAAUAAAACAAUAUUCUGCAUCGUCCUUUAUUUUCUGUUUACAUGCGCUGCGUUUCGAAGCACAAACAGGACUUCAAAAUACAUUUAUCCCUUGCUAUAUAGGGAUUACGUAUUCCAUAAUUUGAGUGAGAGGGGAAAAGAAAUGUUUUACGCGAUUAAUAUACAUCCCUCUUGCGUGGAAAAGAAAGGUCACUGCAUACCAAGGGCGAAAUGUGUGGGCAGGACAAUGCUGUAUAUAUCUCGUAUUUGUUACAAGAGAGAUUUGGUGUGUUGUUAUGAUAACUCUAUUAAGUUUCCUGUUGUAGCAGAACACAGUUACACUACUGUCUCCACGGAAUAUACAACAGUUUUAGGACCAUAAGGGCGUUUUUUGUAUAAGUUUUAAUGUCCGUGGAACGCGACUAUUUUACCAUUUUUGUUGAAUUAUUUAAAUAAAUAAAAUAUAAAUUUUAA